UGUAUGAUUCAUUUCUAUGACUUUGUA
rnacentral:piRNA from 1 species